rnacentral:rRNA from 1 species
ACGCACGCUGGCGGCAUGCCUAACACAUGCAAGUCGAACGAGACCUUCGGGUCUAGUGGCGCACGGGUGCGUAACGCGUGGGAACCUGCCCUUAGGUUCGGAAUAACUCCCCGAAAGGGGUGCUAAUACCGGAUAAUGUCUUCGGACCAAAGAUUUAUCGCCUCUGGAUGGGCCCGCGUUGGAUUAGCUAGUUGGUAGGGUAAAAGCCUACCAAGGCGACGAUCCAUAGCUGGUCUGAGAGGAUGAUCAGCCACACUGGGACUGAGACACGGCCCAGACUCCUACGGGAGGCAGCAGUGGGGAAUAUUGGACAAUGGGCGAAAGCCUGAUCCAGCAAUGCCGCGUGAGUGAUGAAGGCCUUAGGGUUGUAAAGCUCUUUUACCCGGGAUGAUAAUGACAGUACCGGGAGAAUAAGCUCCGGCUAACUCCGUG